AUGGCUGGUCCGGCGAAGGCGUCGUGGAUGGUGGCCAUGAGCGUGGGCGCCGUGGAGGCGCUCAAGGAUCAGGCCGGGCUCUGCCGCUGGAACUAUGCCCUCAGGUCCAUCCACCGGGCUGCCAAGGCCAACGUCCGUGGGGGCGCCUCGCAGGGCACCAAGCAGCUUCCGGCCUCCGCGGUGGCUGUGGCGGAGAGGCGGCGAGCGGAGAAGGCCGAGGAGGGGCUGAGGACCGUCAUGUACCUCAGCUGCUGGGGCCCAAAUUAG
rnacentral:rRNA from 1 species